rnacentral:misc_RNA from 1 species
CUAUCUUGCCGGUGCACAACUUCGUCUGCCUAUUUUCCUCUCAGCGCAGCUCGCGGCAUCCCUUCGCCACCAGUUUGCCGCCUACAAAUGCGGCUCAUCGUCUUAUUGAAACUACUAUGACGAUAAAUGCACUGCACUGCUUGCCUGGAACGUUUGAAGUCCACCUCACCGCUUUUUGCUCCUUCGUUUCUUAACCUCUGACAUGCCCUCUGCAUGCUUCUUCGCUCGUCUACUCCCGUCUUUAUUUGCUUUCGCCCUCAGCGUUACCGAAUCUCUCCAGGCCAAUAAUGGUGAAUCUCCAUGUAAUGAAUGGGGACGCUGUGCCCAGACAUGCGUCCAGAAUUGGAAAAAUCGGUCUCUUGUUGAAUGUGGUUGUGUUGAAGGCUUUCGCCUAGACUCCAAUCGUGUUUCCUGUCUUCCAGUAGAUCCAUUAGCGUCAUACCUUUUGAUAACCACCAGUGCUGGUAUUCAGCAGUCAUUUGUGGAAUCGAAGGGCGAGAGCCACUUCUUGUACAGUAGCAACACUCUUACUGUGGCUGUGGAUUUCCUUUUGAACGGCCCCAAGACAACAGUAUUUUGGAGUGACAUAAACACGGAUAAAAUCAACGCAGGGGAAGUUGUGGAAGGAAGAUUGAAAGAUGUGCGCUCCGUCGUAACGGGUGGCCUUGAGUCAGUGGAGGGCCUGGCCGUGGACUGGAUUGCGUGCAAUCUCUACUGGGUGGAGAGCAGGCACCAAGAAAUAGAGGUUUCGAGGUGUGAUGGUUCCAUGCGGGCAUCUGUAGUCGGCGAUGUCCGCCGCCCUAGAGCCUUGGCGCUGGAUCCGCGAGUAGGGUUCCUCUUUUGGACUGACUGGGAUGAUGAAAACCCACGAAUUGAGCGAAGCUACCUGGAUGGCAGCUCAAGAAAGGUGAUAGUUAAUGUGGAGGAGUACAGUAACCUGCCAGAAUCUUUGCCCAAUGGAAUCACGCUGGAUUAUGCUGUCAAGAGAGUCUAUUGGAUUGACGCUGGGUCUGGGUCAAUCCACACUGUUAAAUAUGAUGGGACAGACCACAAGAAAAUACUUCAUUUGUCCACAUUUUCCAAGCCUUUUUCGAUGGAUGUGUUUGGCGAUUACUUUUAUUGGACAGACAUUACGUUUUCUAGUAUAUAUAAGGCACAUCGGUUUUCAUUGAAUGCAACUCAGAAGGUGGUUCUCCAUUCCAGUAAUACACUCUAUCAGGCUGCUAUUGUUCAUCCUUCUAGACAUCCCACAUACAACACAACAAAUUAUUGUGCCUACAACAAUGGCUUCUGCAGUCACCUAUGUGUUAUGGGAGAUGGUCGGCCUUUGUGUAUGUGUCCAUAUGGCCUGCAACUUGGUCCUGACAAGCGGACUUGUAAAGAUCAUGGACCACUGAUUCUUUAUCAAACGAAGAAGACAAAUAUUGUCUAUUUCGCCUUCACCAGUGAUCCGUCUCGGUGGAUUUAUCCUCCUGUGAAGCUACAUGCAACUGCAUUUGCCUUAACCUAUGAUAGCCGAAAUGAAAUUUUGUACUGGAUUGAAGGGAGAACGAUAAAAAGGCACAUGCUCAAGACCUACACUACAGAAAUAUUUGCAAAAUUUGGGUCCUUGGUGAAGUUGACUGCACUAUCGCUCGACUGCUUAUCUGGCAACCUGUACGUAGGAAACUCUGUGCAGCUCAACAGCGAAAUUCGCAGCCAGAUCUCUGUGUGUGCAACAGGCGGACGGUACUGCAGCAAUCUCAUCUGGGAUUCUGUGCGACAUGUCAGUGGUCUUGCAGUGGACGCUGUGAACAGACUUAUUUUGUGGAUGGAGCGAGAACGUGCAGCAGCUGACCAGGAUUUAAUGACAGUUAAAGCUGCACACCUGAACGGCUCUGUUACAUGGACGUUGCAUACAUGGACCUGUCCCAAAAAUGCUGCAAUGAAAGGUUUUGAUGUGAACCCUUUGCGAGAGGAAGUGUGCUGGAGUGAUGCAAAUAGAGGUGCCAUUAUGUGCGUCAGUUAUGGCACUACAACCAAUUUUUCUGAGAUAGUCCUUGCCAGUGGUGGCAGCCAAGGCCACUUGCUUUUUACGGUUGACAAGGAGAAGUUGCUGUACAGCCCUGGAAAUGGCAGCUUAUACUCGGUCACCUAUGGUUCCCGCAAUGCUCCACACCUAGUUUGGAAUGGCUCAGAGCCAUUGGGCUACUUGAAGCAUACUAGUGCUGACGACUUUCCUGAACAUCGAACCUCAAGACACCCGUGCCAGCAGUUGUUGGUGCCUUGCAAAGGAAUCUGCCUCCCUGAAGAAAAUGGCCACAGAUGCUUGCCUGUUGGAGGUUCAGACACCCUUUUGGUGUUUCUCCAGAAUCAUAGGACUGUAGUUUACCCUGUUGGGUCAGAUCCUACUGUGCCACCGCUACUCUUGCAAGCAGAAUUCAGUGAGAUGCCCCUAGAUUCAAUUCACGUUCUCUCUGCUGAAGAAGCAGUAGUGUUCUCGAGCCGUGAACGACUGUAUCGGGCCCGCAUUGAUGGUUAUAAUGUUACUCCUGUGGCAACAUUGAACAACACCAGAGUCACUGCACUGGCUGCUGAUGCAUCUUCAGGUCUUUUGUAUAGAGCUGUGUUUAGCAGUCAUGGUGCUCGGAUUGAGUCUUUCUUCUUGAAUGGAACUGGUGUCACCGUCCUGGUGGAUACUGACCUUCACAGGGUCAAUGCUUUAGCAAUACACCCUUCUAGAAAACUUCUGUUUUGGAGUGAUGCUGGUGAAUGGCCGCGUAUUGAACGCUUUGAUUUAGAGACAAAGGAGCGGCAGACCAUCGUUCACGAAGAGUUGUUUCAAGUGUCUGAUCUGACGUUGGACUUGGAGCGUGAUCUAGUGUACUGGUGCGAUUUGGGCACGGCUCGCAUUGAGCAAGCACACCUGGAUGGCACUGGACGCACCAGAAUAGGCCUCAACAAGGGUCCCAAUCGCCACUAUUCCCCAGUUUCUGUGGCAGUCUUCCAGUCUGUGCUUUUUUGGAUUGAUAGCACCUACUCGGGUGGCUCUUUGGUAAUGUUUGUCAAAAACCGGCAUCCUCAGACCUCAACAUGGAGUCGGUUUCUUGGUCCAAAUAUGUCUCAUCUGCAACUUUACAAUAGGCACAUGCUCCCAUAUGUAAAUGAGUCAAGGGAUAUGUACAGCUCUAACCUAAACCCUAUGUCAUGCCGUGGUUUCUGCUACAACGGUGGGACCUGUUUAGCCAUUGAGGACGGCCCUGGUGGACCCACUUGCCAGUGUACUGCCAAUUUUACAGGGCCACGGUGCCAGUUCUAUGCAGCAUACAUCUACAACCCACCUUUCUCUGAUGAGGAACCAGCUGAUGUGAAGAUAAUAGUGAUUCCAGUGGCUGUGCUGCUUUCUGCAUUCCUGCUGAUGCUGGUGGUUGCUUGGGUGAAAAGGAGGCGCGCUUGGCAGUCCACUGCAGUCUCCCUCUCUUCUGAAGAGGCCAAUCCAGCCUUAGCAGCACGCAUGAUUGAUAGCCAGUAUGAAACUUCUUUCUCUGAUAAUGUGUUGUUGAUGGGGACUAACCUGGCUUUUGAAGACACCGAGCCAAGCCCUGGAAAUGGCAACGUGUUCAAUGGCCUUGAAUCAUUGCCCAGAAAGCCCUUGGCAACAAUUUUAAAGGGCACAUGGCAACAUAUAGUGUGAUCAUCCUCAUUGCCAUUGUGUUGUAGCAUCAAAGUUUCUGGGCUGCAGCUUUUGGACUGCUGUUGCAUUUCUACAAGCUUAAAUGGUCGUUUCUUACUUCAGUGAAUCAUUUAGUAUGGUUGCUUCAUUAAUUUGCCAUUUUUUGCUGUUCCUUUUACAACGACAGAGUCACAUACAAACAAGGUACAUGAAAAUGACAACGCUGUCGAAAGUUUUUAUUUUUUUUUAAAUGUGAGCAAGCGGUUUGCAUAUGGGACGUGUAACUGUCACUAUGACCAUGCCACCUUUUUUUUUUUCUGGCUGCGGCAAGAUGAGGGGGAAAAGGCCAUUAAGCCGAUUUGGGGUUACAAUGUGAUUUUUCUGUAUUCCAACGCAUCUGUUGUUUUUAGCUGCUGUUACUAAAGGAUAAGUGCAACAAGGCAUAUAUUCCAUAGCACAGCAUAUCAGAGUGAAAAUGGGAGAGUGCAGGUGCAAAGCUAACUUUUCCAGUGGAGAAAGGCCAUGUUCACGUUGACUUAAGGCAACCGUAAGAGCGAGGCAAGCUUGUUGUUAACGUGCCCCCACUCGAGAAGGUGAUCUUUAUAUGAACGCUAAGCAGCGACCAUCACUAAUUGCCCUCUUUUCUACAUGUGUCAGCGCUGGUCACUUUUUGUAAUCUCUUCAUACUGCAUUUGAUUUAAACCAGGCUUGUGCACGUACCAGGGUUGUUUGCUUUAUGUAUUGGUACUGGUGGGCCGAGGCAAGAUGAAGAUGCACAUUAAUAUUCCAUUCUGAAUUCAUACACUCGAAAUCGGACUGCCAGGUGAUGGCAUGUAUAAGCUGUGCACUUCGCAAUUUUAAACUUGCCUAAUAAUAUGACAGGUACUUAUUUACAGGAGUUGACAGCAACACAUUUCAGUUAUUUUUAAGCCUGUAUUCUGUCUAGAGAACAGCCCGGCAUUACUUCAUUUGAGGGAAUGAAGUGCCUGUUAGAAUGUGUACAUCGAUUGUGUGGACGCAUGCACACUUUUCAGAGUGCGAAAGAUGCACACAAUUGCUCAUAGCUCACUUGCACUGAUGUAGAUCUCACCCUUGUUUUGUGGCUUCACGCAUAGGGUGCAAGCAUAUUCAUCUUCUGCAUUCUGAAAACGUGUGGUAGACAGUAUUUUUUAAAUAGAUUAGUUGCAAAGACAGAAGGCCAAAGCUAAGAAUUUUGUGUACCUAACUGCCUGUGGAAAGUCUGAAUUAUAUGUGCUUAAAUCAGUUCAUAUUGUGAAAGCUUGUGCAGGAUGUCCAAAAUUAUCCAUAUAAGCUAUCUUUAUGCAUAAUGGUGAAAUAAGUGAUAAGCUUUUAUACAAGAUUGCCUGCACAAAGAAAUGUCAAGCAGUGCUAGAAUUGAAAAUUGUGUGGGUCACCCAUGUGUACAGUUGCAAUUUUAAUUAUUCCGGUGCAUAUACUAAGACACCUGUUAUUAUUUUUUAAUUAAAAUUUUAUUUGCAGCUUAUUAGAGAUGUCUGUGGCAAGACAUGAAUGCAAGCAGUGAUUAGGGUUUCUUGCCAAGUUUGUUGCUGCUCAUGUGAUGUGCAUUAUUAAGCAGUUCAAAAAAGCUGCAAUUGCAUUUAGUGGUAACAAGCAUUUUGUGUUUUCUAUGUUAUGGAAGCAGCAUGGUCAUGUAUAGCGUCUCCGAAUUGGAGAAAACAAAAGCAGAAGAAACGAGAGUGCCAAGGCUUGUCAUGACCAGCAAGAAUCUGCAUUUUAAGUGAUGCAGCUAAAGGGUGAAUUGUGGUGUCUCAACAAUGUGUGAGAAAUGAGGGCAUUAAUUCUGCCAUGAAUCUACUACCUGAUAUUUAUUAUUUACCAGCUUAUGCCAGUCAAUGUUUGGUCAUUUUUGGGCAAUUCAAGCCCUGACAAAUGCGAACACUCAUUCCAAGAAAGAAUAGUGGAUUUUGUGCUUUUGUCAGGCCUUGACAACUUGCAUUUUUUGAGCUUUCAUUUUUGUAGAUCUGUUGUAUACAAAAUAGUGUUCCUCUAGUACCUUGUUUUAUUCCUGCAUCCCUGACCCUGCCUUUUCAGUUCCAAAAUGUUGCAGAGAUAUGGCAAAUCAGAGUUCUAGACAUCUUUUUUGUUGUAGCUAUUGUACUGGGAGCUUUAUUGAUUAGCUUGUUGUGUAAUUUCAAAUUAUUUCCACAGAAAUAUACCCUCUGCAGAAAACA